rnacentral:misc_RNA from 1 species
GCUUUGCAGUUAUUGUGGAAAUUCUAUUUUCCCUGCAAUUAUUAUUUUCUUUAGAAAGGUGUAGGAAUCCUAAAAUUAUAAUUAGGAACUAAUUUUCUAUCUUUUAAGAAGUGUUUGCUUAUGAAAAUGAUAACGCAACACUGUUGUUAUCCCCAUAUUCCUUGUCAUUUUGCUAGGCAUGGCUUGGCAUGGAUACAACAUACAAGCAAAAAGUUAAAUGGAUUUCAUGUAUUGGUUUUACAAUGUUGUUCAAAUGACAUAAUCUUUAGUUGUGAUGGAAUUUCUAAAGAGCUGAUCAAACUGUUCUGAGGAUUUAUUAUGAGCAAAGGCCCUAGGGAAGUGGUCUUUUGUUCAUUGUUUAGGGAGGUGAAUGGGUAUGUGUUUAUGCCAUAAGUUUGGAAGAGUGACAUUGAUUAUAUUAUGGCCUCUCUAGAAUUUUAUCAUUAAUUAGCUGUUCAUUUUGUGGAUUCUUUGAUAAGUGGACCUGUGUUAGUAGUUCAUGGGACAAAGCAUAGAGAGCCACACAUAUCAGAAUUGGUCCUUCAUUUGUGGUGAUUUCUUAUUAUAGAUAGGACUGCAGAAGUAGUUAACAGAAUUUGUGCUUUGAAAAGAUGAACAUGUGCUGUUUUUUUUACUUUGCAUCCUAAUAUUGAAUCGUCAUAAUAAUCCCUAAAAUAAAAAAUAAAGAGUAAUUUGGUGCUGCUGUAAAAGCGGUCUUCUUGUUAUGAAAAUCUAGUGUAAAUAUUCAGUUGUGGAAUAUUAGCCUUCAGGAACCGACUUCUAUAGUGCUAAUUUUUGUUAUCAUCUUUGGUUAUGAUCUCUAAAUUGAUGACAUUCGUUUUUAGGAAGCUUUCACAGUGUCUGGGCUUUGUCGUAUUUGAUGGUUUUCACCCCUUUGGUUUUGGGUUGUUUUUAGAAAAAGGAAAGA